rnacentral:rRNA from 1 species
UACGUAGGGGGCUAGCGUUGUCCGGAUUUAUUGGGCGUAAAGAGCUCGUAGGUGGUUCGGUAAGUCGGAUGUGAAAUCUCCAGGCUCAACCUGGAGGGGUCAUUCGAUACUGCCGUGACUAGAGUUCGGUAGAGGAGUGUAGAAUUCCUGGUGGAGCGGUGAAAUGCGCAGAGAUCAGGAGGAACACCCGUAGCGAAGGCGGCACUCUGGGCCGAUAUUGACACUGAGGAGCGAAAGCGUGGGGAGCGAACAGG